AAAAUUCCAAGGAAGAAAAGUCGGAUCGCAUUUAUCAAAAGAAAUCUUAUUUAUUUAAUCAGUCUCACAUUCUUUUUCCUUUGUUUGCUGCUUUUAAAGUUAAAAAAAGGAUAUGUCGCAGUAUACUGCCAUUGUCUUUUGUCAACAUACCACCAAAAUGACAGAAAUUUUUGCUGCUAUUUAGUAAAAAUAUUUCAAAUUUCGUAUUUGUAAAGGUUAUGCAUAGAAUGGCUGAGACUCAUACUUAAACAGUAUAGGUAUCUAAACAUUGUAUGGGGCGAUUGUAGCAGCAAACGAUUAAGUAGUUUGCGUUAGUUACAACACCUAGUAAUGGUUUGCUACCUUUUGUUUAAAAUAAUAGUAGACGAGAUUGCCAAUGGCCGAUGUUGUUUAUCUUAAAGUUGAAAGUGAAGCGAAACCUUUUUCUAACUUUAAGAGUGGGAUUUCUUCCAUCCAAAAGAAUAUGCACUGCAACAAGAUAUAGGACACAGGCAAAUUAUUUGACAAAAACAAGGAACCGUAUAACUACUUUUUUACUUUAAU